rnacentral:rRNA from 1 species
UACGAAGGGGGCUAGCGUUGUUCGGAAUUACUGGGCGUAAAGAGCUCGUAGGCGGUCUGUCGCGUCUGCUGUGAAAACUCAGGGCUUAACCCUGAGCUUGCAGUGGGUACGGGCAGACUAGAGUGCGGUAGGGGAGACUGGAAUUCCUGGUGUAGCGGUGAAAUGCGCAGAUAUCAGGAGGAACACCGGUGGCGAAGGCGGGUCUCUGGGCCGUAACUGACGCUGAGGAGCGAAAGCAUGGGGAGCGAACAGG